UUGAUCCUGGCUCAGGAUGAACGCUAGCGAUAGGCUUAACACAUGCAAGUCGAGGGGCAGCACGGUGUAGCAAUACACUGGUGGCGACCGGCGUACGGGUGCGUAACACGUAUGCAACCUACCCGCUAUUGGGGGAUAACCCGGCGAAAGUCGGACUAAUACCCCAUAUUAUUCUUACCGGGCAUCCGGUAGGUCUGAAAGAUUUAUCGAUUGCGGAUGGGCAUGCGGAUGAUUAGCUAGUAGGUGGGGUAACGGCUCACCUAGGCGACGAUCAUUAGGGGUUCUGAGAGGAAGGUCCCCCACACUGGAACUGAGACACGGUCCAGACUCCUACGGGAGGCAGCAGUGAGGAAUAUUGGUCAAUGGGCGCUAGCCUGAACCAGCCAAGUCGCGUGAAGGAUGACAGAUCUAUGGUUUGUAAACUUCUUUUGCAGGGGAGUAAAGUGCGACACGUGUGUUGUAUUGCAAGUACCCUGCGAAUAAGCAUCGGCUAACUCCGUGCCAGCAGCCGCGGUAAUACGGAGGAUGCAAGCGUUAUCCGGAUUUAUUGGGUUUAAAGGGUGCGUAGGCGGGUUAUCAAGUCAGCGGUGAAAUUUUUCGGCUUAACCGUAAAAUUGCCGUUGAAACUGGUGAUCUUGAGUGCGAGCGAGGUAGGCGGAAUGUGCCGUGUAGCGGUGAAAUGCAUAGAUAUGGCACAGAACUCCGAUUGCGAAGGCAGCUUACUAGUACGCUACUGACGCUGAUGCACGAAGGCGUGGGGAGCAAUCAAGAGUAGAUACCCUGGUAGUCCCCGCUGUAAACGAUGGAUACUAGGUGUGGGAGGUAUCGACCCCUUCCGUGCCGCAGCAAACGCAAUAAGUAUCCCGCCUGGGGAGUACGGUCGCAAGGCUGAAACUCAAAGGAAUUGACGGGGGCCCGCACAAGCGGUGGAGCAUGUGGUUUAAUUCGAUGCAACGCGAAGAACCUUACCAGGUCUUGACAUCCAAAGAAUCCUGAUGAAAGUCGGGAGUGCCUUAGGGAGCUUUGAGACAGGUGGUGCAUGGUUGUCGUCAGCUCGUGUCGUGAGAUGUUGGGUUAAGUCCCGCAACGAGCGCAACCCUUGCUAUUAGUUGCUAACAUUGAGUUGAGCACUCUAAUGGGACUGCCCGUGACAAGCGGGAGGAAGGUGGGGAUGACGUCAAAUCAUCAUGCCCUUUAUGAUCUGGGCUACACACGUGCUACAAUGGAUGGUACAGAGAGCAGCGAGACAGUGAUGUGGAGCGAAUCUCAAAAAGCCAUUCUCAGUUCGGAUUGCAGGCUGCAACUCGCCUGCAUGAAGUCGGAAUCGCUAGUAAUCGCGGAUCAGCAUGUCGCGGUGAAUGCGUUCCCGGGCCUUGUACACACCGCCCGUCAAG
rnacentral:rRNA from 1 species